GGAACUGUCCCAAGGAAACCGUUAACAAGCUGGAUGUCCUCUACCACUCCACAGUAAGCAUCCUCCCUACAUGGCCUGUAGCCAGAAACAGGGCUGGAUAAUCAAGCAACAUCACCAUGAGCAAGCAAGAGCCUAAAAAAUGGCAGAAACACCUCUACAUAAAAACGCUGUGUGGUGAAGGGUGCCAACCCCCGAAAAAAGAAGAAAAAAAACACUUUCUGGCUGAACUUUCUUGUAAUUAGUUUAUGGACACGUGUACUAAAUCCAUCCCAUCUGGACGACUGGAAGUACUUUUUGACCCCGGCCUGUGGUCAGCAUCAUCGAGAUGUCUCCUGGACAGCAGGCGAUGGAAAAUCAUUCAAAAAAAAAAAGAAAAAAAAAAGGAGAAGACGAAGCGGCAGCAACUGUUUUAAUAUAAAAGGAAGAAGACAGAGGGCGGCUUGUCGUCAUGCCAUUAAACUAUCUUGUUUACAAAGAAACAGAUGUGCAGCUUGGACAUCCUCAGCAGCCGGAGA